ensembl:lncRNA
AGGAGCUCAACCUCAAGAUCAUCUACCAACUCUCUGAAGCAGUGUCUCACACUCGGGUCCUGACCGAGGGCCUUGAAACUGGCAUGCCUGUUCAAAACAUCUCCAGGACAACAAGGUUAUUUUGUGUUGACGUGUAUUGAAUUCUUAAGGGCAAAGAAGAUGAAGGAGAAUGCGUGCAGUGGGCUGAAUGGAGAAUUCGUGAAUCAAAGGCAACACCAUCAAAUGCAUUAUGAAAUUAAGCACUAUCAGGUUGUCAAGGCUGUAGCUCAGCGGGUACAUGGUCCUGGAUACCAGAUUUUUUUGAAAACUAUUUAUAUAUGGAAUCUGAAUGCACUCCAGGAUAUGCUGCAGUUCUUUGUGCCACAAGAGGCCAAGCUCUACUACAAGACGUUGAGGCAGAAGAUGAAGAUUAUUACAAAUUAUCCAAGUCAGUUCCGACCAAGUAAUUUGAUUGGACAAGAGGCAUUCCAGUGCUGAUAUAGAGUAGCCUGGCGAUGUCAUACUCAUAAUUCUAGUCAGAAUAUGAGUCUGAGACCGAACCAUUGGGCUGUGAUUAUAGGGCGGAACCAGGAAGGAAAAUGCCUCUUCGCUCAAUUGGAUAGUCCUAAAACCAAUCAGAGCAACG